rnacentral:piRNA from 1 species
GCUCCUGGGAAAUGGCUCUGGAAGGGGAC